rnacentral:rRNA from 1 species
ACUCAAAGGAAUAGACGGGGGCCCGCACAAGCGGUGGAGUAUGUGGUUUAAUUCGACGCAACGCGAAGAACCUUACCAAGGCUUGACAUCCUCUGACAACCUAAGAAAUUAGGCUUUCUGCCUUCGGGUAGACAGAGAGACAGGUGGUGCAUGGUUGUCGUCAGCUCGUGUCGUGAGAUGUUGGGUUAAGUCCCGCAACGAGCGCAACCCUUAUCUUUAGUUGCUAACAGGUAAUGCUGUGCACUCUAGAGAGACUGCCGGUGACAAACCGGAGGAAGGUGGGGAUGACGUCAAAUCAUCAUGCCCCUUAUGUCUUGGGCUACACACGUACUACAAUGGCCGGUACAAAGGGCGGCGAAGGGGCGACCCGGAGCAAAUCCCAUCAAAGCCGGUCUCAGUUCGGAUUGUAGUCUGCAACUCGACUACAUGAAGUCGGAAUCGCUAGUAAUCGCAGGUCAGCAUACUGCGGUGAAUACGUUCCCGGGCCUUGUACACACCGCCCGU